UGGCGGGGAGACUUGAAGUACUCAUGAAUGUGUUUCCAUUCUCAUGAUGUCAAAGGUUUAUGCAAAUGGUCUUGAUGUCAGACCAAAAAGGUCGACAUAAUUGAUGUUGAACAUUUAGUGCACUAUUUCCUUACUGCUUGAUAAGAAAGUGACUUGGAAUGAUCUGAUUUUAUCCUUGACGACGCUGAAAGUUUUGCAUUUUAGCUUCAGUGAGCAUGUACUUGUUGUCAUUCUUACGACCUUGUGAUGAUAAAGUUCUGAGUACCUGCAGUCCAUCGUUGCAAAGCAAGCAUGUGGUGCAUCUCAUCCGUGGGGCUCGGCGAUAAAGAGGUUUCGAGUGAGAGCAUCCCAUUCUUUUCAAGGAACACGUACAUGGUUCCAUCCAGCUUGAUAAUAUUGACACAGGGAGUAGCCUUUUCUGACUUUGGUGAGCAAGUACUAGGCAUACGUCCACAAAAAUAUUUAUUCUCCGAUGGGAGAAUAAAAAUAUGAGUUGUUUGAUUCAUAAAAAUGGAAUUCAAUGUCCUAUCUUAUCAGCUUUGCGCAGCGUCACGAUAAAUUUAGUAUUUUGAUGUAGGAGUAUCAAAAUCAGGAGCCGUUUAUUUUUAGAAACUAGAAUCCUAUAGCUACGUCUUACGCAGAAAUCGCAAUCAGAUUGCACCCAAAUCGUCCCAGAUAUUGCCCUAAAAUCUAUCUUUUAAUCUCGGUUCGCUAGUUUCAUCAACUUUGCGCAUCGUCACGAUAAAUUAUAUAUCUUGACGUGAAAGUAUCGAAAUCAGGUUUUAUUUUUUGCACUGAAAAUUAGAUUCGCAGAGAUACGUCUCACAUGGAAACCACAAUUAUAUUGCAUCCGAAUCAUCCCAAAUAUUGCUCUAAAAACAGCCUUCUAAUCUUGGUUCGCUAGUUAUUUCAGCUUUGCGCAACGUCACGAUAAAUUCCAUAUCUUGACGUGAAAGUAUCGGAAUCAGGUUUUGUUUUUUGCAUUGGAAAGUAGAAUUGCAAAUUUACGUCUCACGCAGAUACCACAAUUAGGUUGCAUACGAAUCAUCCCAUAUAUGCUCUAAAAACAGCCUUCUAAUCUUGGUUUGCUCGUUAUUUCAACUUUGCGCAGCAUCACGAUAAAUUCCAUAUCUUGACGUGGAAGUAUCGGGAUCAGGUUCCAUUUUUUGCAUUGGAAAGUAGACUCACAGAUCUAGAUUAAGCGUGAAAUCCAUCAGCAUAUAACCUCUAUAUUUUCUCAGGUACUUUUCCAAAGUUUCAGCCUAAAUCUUGUAAUAUUCUAUUUCUCCUCAGAUUUUGGAUACUUCAUGAAUUUCAUCAUCUACUUCAAGUUUUGGGCCACAUCACUUCGGAAAUAUGUUGAAGGCCAAACUAGAGCAAUAUUCAAGGCACCACAAGUCUUUUUCUUGUAGAGAAAACUUUAUUGUUUAAGAGAUAAUAAAGAAUUCUUUUGCUUCAAGACGGCAUCUUCAAAGGACUCCAAAUAUGCAUUUAAGCUUCAUACUUUUCCUUCCUUUUUAUUUAGAGCCGUUCACAGUUUAAACUCAUGCGGGCCAGGAGUGACAUGCAGUUUAAGCUAGUACCUUAAGGAGAGUUUUGACUUGCAGUUUAGGCUCGUGCGUCGAGGAGAGUCUUGAUUUGCAUUUUAGGCUCAUGCAUCGAGGAGUAUUUUGUCUUGCAGUUUAGGCUCAUGAAUCGAGGAGCAUUUUUGACCUGUAGUUUAAGCUCGGGCAGCAAGGAGCAUUUUUGACUUGCAGUUUAAGCUCGUGCAGCAAGGAGCAUUUUUGACUUGCAGUUUAAGCUCGAGCAGCAAAAAGCAUUUUUAACUUGCAGUUUAAGCUCGUGCAGCAAGGAGCGGGCCAGGAGUGACAUGCAAUUUAUGAUCGUGCCUUAAGGAGCAUUUUGACUUGCAAUUUAGGCUCGUGCGUCGAGGAGCGUCUUGACUUGCAGUUUAGGCUCGUGCAUCGAGAAGCAUUUUGACUUGCAGUUUAGGCUCAUGCAUCGAGGAGUAUCAUGCAGUUUAUGCUCGUGCCUUAAGGAGCGUUUUGACUUAGGAACUUUAAUGACUUCUUUGGCUAACAACUCGUCAAGAAUUUUAGGAAUAUUAGAGUCGAGAAAAGGAUAUACCCUUGCUUGUAACUCUUUCAAGGUUGGUUGAUUUUUCACCUCUCACAUUUGUUGCUUUGGAGCUUCCUCUUUUAACUUUUUUCUUGUAGGGGACUUCGUAAAACUCACAGUUGUCAUCAUAGAUUCCCCAAUUUGAUUUUCAGAUAAGUCUUCAAAUUUCGUGACUUCCCUUCUAGGAUCAAAAAUAGGUGACGCUAUUCUAUGACUUGCAAUACUUAGCUCCAUGUCAUGAGCGUGCGUAGCUAAUUCUUCAAAAGUUUGAGGCUUAAUUCCUUGGAGGAUAUACACAAGGCCCCAAUGCAUCCCUUGAAUGCAAACUUCAACCGCAGAAGUUUCAGAAAGUUGAUCCUUGCAAUCAAAGCUCAAUGUUCGCCAGCGAUUUAUGUAAUCCAGUACAGGCUCAUCUUUACUUUGUCUUGUGUUUGUCAACUCCAUCAUACUGACUAUACGACGGAUACUGUAGAAAUGAUUUAGCAACUGACUUUCUAGUUGCUCCCAACAAUCAAUUGAUCCAGACUCCAAGUCUGUGUACCAAUCAAAAGUGUUGCCUUUCAAGGAGCGAAUAAAUUGCUUGACAAAAAAAUCGCCAUGUGUACCAGCACUGCUACAAGUCUCAACGAAAUGAGCAAUGUGUUGCCUUAGAUUUCCCUUUCCAUCAAAUUUUUAAAACGUUGGCGGUUGAUAUCCAAUUAGCAUCGAUAAGCUCUCGAUUUGCUUAGAAUACGACUUUGAGUAUCCUACAAAACUUUGUGACGGACCGUCAUAUUGUGCCUUGAUGGUGUUUGCAAUCAUAUCUUGCAAUUAUUGAACUGUUAGAGUAGCCACUUAAGCGGAUCGAUCAUCGCAGUAAUUGUCACUUGUCUUGAUGAGAGAUUCACCAUCAACUUUUUCUCGCGGUGUUAGAUUAUAAUAUGACUCUUCAGGAUUAUAGAGAUCUAACUUGCUCAUAAAUUGGGUGAUUUGAUGAUCUUUCUCAUCAACGAACUUCUUCAAGGCUUCAAUGGUUUGCUUCAUCAUUGCAAACUUCUCGUCCAAGAUAAUUGCAUCAACCAUAAGGGGGUUGACUUUUGUUGAAGUUGGAGAAUUCAUUAAUUUUUCUUAUUUUCCAAAGUUGCAGCCAGUUUCAGACGGAUCAUCUGAUAAAAUAGAUGCAAAGUUGCCCCCAGAGGUUGUAGUUACUGCCGAAAUUUGAGAUUUUCUCCUUUUUGUCAUCUCCAAAAUGGUGAAGUAUUGGGAUCCAUCCAAAGCACAAGCGUUGAGAUUGCAUCGAUUGAUGGGGCCAACAAGUUUGAUUUCAAUAGACGUGGCAGUAGUAGACUUCUUGCACGAAACUUCAUUGAUUUUUCUGAAGUCCAUUGUAGUAGUUGAAUAUAUGAUUUCCUUUGACUUGUAGGAGGAAGAGAUGAAGAGCAGAACUGGUCCCACUGGGCGUGCCAAUUUGUUUGCAACAAAUUUUCGUUAACGUUGAAAAUUAACUGCAAACAAAAAUAAAAUAAACAAAAAGAAUAAUUUUAUAUAAAUGAAUUUUGAGGGUACAAUUUCGUUAUUCUCUCGAUUUUUCUCUUCUAAGUUUUUUCCAUGAUUCGAGGGCCUUUGUAGCAUAAUUCUCAAAUGUAGGAUGAUUUGAGCCUCCUAUAAAUGUGUUUGGAUCUCCAGGAAUUGUCUGACAGCACUUCGUCUUGUCGAGUUGAUCUCUGGGCAAAACUCCGUUAGUCAAUUCGUUAAAGAGUUGUGUAGUCAAUGCAGAAGCUUCCUCCAAUGCUUGCAAAAUGUCCUCUUUUUUUCUUUUCUUUCCCCUAGAAUGUUAUGUUACUCCCCUAUUUAUAGUUGUAGGGGGUAGGCCUAGUUUCUUGUGAUUGGCCGAAACAUGUCACUUUGCCACUUGGUACCUUUUGACUGGUUGUUGAAUUUGAAUGAGAUUUUCACAUCAUUUGUACAUAUGGCGGUAUCUCAUUGGUCUUGGAUUUGACUGAGAUGCCACGUCACUUGAUGAGUUUGGGCUUCAAGGUGAGAUGGACCUUGAUGAAGAAUAAAAUAGGCUUAUUAUUUUUUUUUAGCCCAAAAUAAGUUUAAACCCAAUAACAUAUGGAUCAAAUUCAAAUUUUAUAUGAAUUUGAUCCAAUAAAUUUUAUGUGUCUACAGUUACAUCUUAGACAAAGGUUCUUGUGUUGCAUCUAACUUUGCUAGAUCCUUUUGAAAAGGUUUUGGAGAGUUCUUCAUGUCUGAUAUUGUUAAUAUCAGUUUUUUUUUUAAGAAUUGUAACUUAUGAUAUUGUUAAUAUCAUGCUUUUACAAUUUCUGUGUUUGUCCUUUAUUUGGAAACAUAAGAUCCAAAAAACGUGGUUGUUCUAAGUUAUAUAGGGCAGACUUUUGGUUGGUCAAGAAAUCACAUGUUCAGAAGAUGAGAGUAGCGGAAAAUGAGGAUGUUGAGAUGGAUGAGGAAUGAAAAUGUCCAGGAUAAGGUAAGAGUGGCUUUUAUGGUGAACAAGACGAGGGAGGCGAGACUCAGAUGGUUUGGGCAUGUGAAGAGGAAAUGCAUAGGUGCCCCGGGUGAGGAGGCAUGAGAGGUAGGCUAUGGUGGGUUUGAGGAGAGGUAGAGGUCAGCCGAAGAAGUAUUGGACAGAGGUGAUUAGGCAGGAUAUAACACUUUUGUAGCUUCCGAGUACAUGAUCCUAGAUAAGAGGAUAUGGAGGCCGAGGAUUAAGUUACAUGGUCUCCCGUAAUCAAAGAAAAAUGUUUGUUUCAUUAUGUUUGUGGAUGAAGCUACUCUAAAAACUCUUACAGCUGAAGGGAAGAUGCCAGACAGCAUGGGCUUUGUAGGUUUAUGGAAGAUCGUAGUGGUAAAGAAUCUUCCUUUUUCUGAUUUGCGGAGAGUGGGAAAGAUACCAAAUUUAUUGUCUCAUCGGCUCUUUACUUCCGCCAGCUUGAUCCCCUACUCAUCUUGGAGUACUUCCUGUGGCGAAAGGGUUACGAAUAUGCAAUUUCCAAUCACUAUGACAGGCAUUGUGUGUGGGAAGAAGUUGCCCAAAACAAGAAGCUUAGCAAGUACAAUCAUACUGUUAUUGAUACAAGCACGAUCAUGAAGAUGAACGUUUUUGAGUAUUUUGGAUGUAACCUCGGAGGUGUACGAGUUGAAGUGUUAAAAAGGGCUCCAAACCGCCCCUAAAACACUCCAUGGGUGCCUAUUUGCCUACUUGGUCAUUAAACGGCCUUUUUGUCAUUUUAUCUUUUUAUUUGUAAAGUACUAUAAAUAGAAGAAUAUAGGAUUUUAGUUAAUUAGUUUUUGUUGAAUAUUGUUGAAAGAACACAUCUCUUGAGAGAGAAGGUCUCUAGGCCUAAACUAGGACAUGAACAAGUGUGGAUUCACUUGUAAUUGUGUAUUGCUUGGAAACAUUGGUGCUUGAGCGGUGGAAUCCCUCUUGUGUCACGUAAGAGUGUGGUGUUGCUAUUGUAAGUCUUAGGGGUCCUUAGAUUUAAUACAUCUUUGGGUUCUUAACCUUGUAAUAGUGUAUGUCUCACUUCCUAUCUUAACAUAUCAUGUACUAGUUGUGUGUAGUCUAGUGAACCGUUUGGUUCUUGUUGUUCUUGUAAUCUUGUAACCGUUGGAUUGUUGUUAUUGUAGUGUUGUUCCUCUCGUUAUUGUUGUUUA